UGGGGAAUAUUGGACAAUGGGCGCAAGCCUGAUCCAGCCAUGCCGCGUGUGUGAAGAAGGCCUUCGGGUUGUAAAGCACUUUCAGUGGGGAGAAAGGCCUUUUACCUAAUACGUAAGAGGAUUGAUGUUACCCACAGAAGAAGCACCGGCUAACUCCGUGCCAGCAGCCGCGGUAAUACGGAGGGUGCAAGCGUUAAUCGGAAUUACUGGGCGUAAAGCGCACGUAGGUGGUUUGUUAAGCUAGCUGUGAAAUCCCCGGGCUCAACCUGGGCACUGCAGUUAGAACUGGCAAGCUAGAGUAGGGUAGAGGGGUGUGGAAUUCCAGGUGUAGCGGUGAAAUGCGUAGAUAUCUGGAGGAACAUCAGUGGCGAAGGCGACACCCUGGACUCAUACUGACACUGAGGUGCGAAAGCGUGGGGAGCAAACAGG
rnacentral:rRNA from 1 species